AUGCUUGCUUCGGCAGCACAGGUACUAAAAUUGGAACGAUACAGAGAUUAGCAUGGCCCCUGCACAAGGAAGCAAAGUGUAAGGGGGUUAUUAUGCUCAGUGCU